CUUAGGAUUCUGGAUGGAUAAGAAUGAACUCUGAGCUCACCCAUCCCUUUGGGAUCCAGCUUGGAUCUCUGGACGUGGGUGAUCUGAGAAGCAGAAAGGGCUACUUGGAAAUAACCCUAUUGGGAUCAGUGCUCCAAACAGAGAACAGCCCACAGAGCAGCUUUCAAAACCAGGGCAAAGCAGCUCGAGUUGGUUGGAAACUCAUUGGUGAGGCCGCAGCUCGGGUUGAAGUCAUGCUGGUGCUUGCAGCUGAGCUCUGGAUGCAGAUCUGAGCCACUCCAGCAGCAGAAAAGCGGUCGGGUUUUCAGAUCUGCAAACAGAAAUGGUGAUUAGAGCUGAGCCCAUGCUCGGUGGAGUGCUCUGCUGCUCUGCUCAUAGGCUGACCCAGAGAUCCCAUGUGGUGAAGUCAGGCUGUUCCAGCCAGGAUGGGGAUUAAUUGAUGGACCGGAGAUGACGACCUUUGUUGGGCUGAGACUGCAUCUCUCUGUUAUUCCCUAUUUUUUUUUUGCUUCAAGUCCUCUCUGUGCACUGUUUGCUUCCCUCCAACCCAAGAUGGAUGGAGCGCGGAUUUAAUGAGGUCGUGUUUUCCCACCAGUUCCAUUUGCAGCCAUUUAAUGUUUCAGCUCGGAGCAGGAGAUUGAGUUAAAGGCUAUUUAAAAGUCUAUGAUGCAGACAAGCA